CAGUCGCCGCGGGAAUACGGAGGGUGCAAGCGUUAUCCGGAUUUAUUGGGUUUAAAGGGUCCGUAGGCGGAUCUGUAAGUCAGUGGUGAAAUCUCACAGCUUAACUGUGAAACUGCCAUUGAUACUGCAGGUCUUGAGUAAAUUUGAAGUGGCUGGAAUAAGUAGUGUAGCGGUGAAAUGCAUAGAUAUUACUUAGAACACCAAUUGCGAAGGCAGGUCACUAAGAUUUAACUGACGCUGAUGGACGAAAGCGUGGGGAGCGAACAGGAUUAGAUACCCCUGUAGUCCCUGUCUCUUAUAC
rnacentral:rRNA from 1 species